rnacentral:rRNA from 1 species
AGUCAAGUUUAUAAGGGCAUACGGCGGAUGCCUAGGCGUUUCGAAACGAAGAAGGACGCGAUAAGCUGCGAUAAGCCAUGACGAGCUGCAAGUAAGCCUUGACUCAUGGAUUUCCGAAUGGGGCAACCCGGCGGGAGUAACGUCCCGUCACUCUGCACUUGAUGCAGAGAGAAAACACCCGAUGAACUGAAACAUCUAAGUAGUCGGAGGAAAAGAAAUCAAAGAGAUUCCCUGAGUAGCGGCGAGCGAAACGGGAGGAGCCCAAACCAAGAGACUUCGGUUUCUUGGGGUUGCGGACCUGCAACAAACCGGACACUUUAGUGGAAGCAUCUGGGAAGGUGCGGCAAAGAGAGUGAGACCCUCGUACACGAAAGAGUGAAAAGCGGGCAGGGAUCCAGAGUACCACAGGGCACGAGGAACCCAGUGGGAAGCAGGGUGGACCACCAUCCAAGGCUAAAUACAUCGAAACGACCGAUAGCGAAAAGUACCGUGAGGGAAAGGUGAAAAGAACCCCGGGAGGGGAGUGCAAUAGAACCUGAAACCGUAUGUCUACAAACAGUCGGAGCACUUUACAUGUGCGACGGCGUGCCUAUUGAAGAAUGAACCGGCGAGUUAAUUUAUGCUGCGAGGUUAAGCGGGAGACGCGGAGCCGAAGCGAAAGCGAGUCUUAAGAGGGCGAAAAGUAGCAUGGAUUAGACCCGAAACCACAGUGAUCUAUACAUGUCCAGGUUGAAGCUCAGGUAAAAAUGAGUGGAGGACCGAACCCGUGCAUGUUGAAAAAUGUUGGGAUGAGAUGUGUAUAGGGGUGAAAUGCCAAUCGAACGUGGAGAUAGCUGGUUCUCCCCGAAAUAGCUUUAGGGCUAGCCUCAGGCGAAUAACCAUAGAGACGGUAGAGCACUGAUCGGGCAAGGGGGCGUAAAGCCUACCGACCCCAGUCAAACUACGAAUGGCUCAUAUGGGCAGCCUGGGAGUCAGAAUGCGAGUGAUAAGACCCGUAUUCAAGAGGGAAACAGCCCAGACCGCCGGCUAAGGUCCCAAAUGCUGUGCUAAGUGGAGAAGGAUGUAGGACUUCGAAAACAACCAGGAUGUUGGCUCAGAAGCAGCCACCAUUAAAAGAGUGCGUAAUAGCUCACUGGUCGAGAGGCCCUGCGCCGAAAAUAUCCGGGGCUAAAGCACAGAACCGAAGCUGCGGCAGGGUGUACAUAUCUACAGAGCGUUCAAAGCGCAGGAAAAAUUGGUAUCUGCAAGGAAACCGAGAGCGGCGUAGUAGAGCUACGUCAAACGAGGUUGACACAGCAGAGAGCAAUUUUAACAAGCUUUUUGAGCGUUGUGCUGAUGUGUACACACUGGGUAGGGGAGCGUUCUUAUCUGGACGAAGGCAGACCGGAAGGACUGCUGGACGGAUAAGAAGUGAGAAUGCCGGUAUGAGUAGCGAAACGACAGGUGAGAAUCCUGUCCACCGAAAGCCUAAGGUAUCCCGGGCAACGCUCGUCGUCCCGGGGUUAGUCGGGACCUAAGCCGAGGCGAAAAGCAUAGGCGAUGGACAACUGGCGAAAAUUCCAGUACCGGGCGUCUUCGUUUGAGGAUGGAGUGACGCAGGAAGGAAGCUGAGCGUGCGAAUGGUUGGGCGCGUCGAAGGCGGUAGGCUUGUAUGGAGGCAAAUCCCCAUACUAUAAGGCCGAGAACCGAUAGAUAGGAAAGACUACGGUCAAUCUGAAUUCAGCUGCACUACACUGCCAAGAAAAGCUUCUAACGAGAAGACGUCCGCCCGUACCAAAACCGACACAGGUAGGCGGGGAGAGAAUCCUAAGGUGCGCGGGAAAACCCUCGUUAAGGAACUCGGCAAAAUGCAUCCGUAACUUCGGGAAAAGGAUGGCCGAUGGUGGUGAAGUCUUUUACAGAUGGAGCUGUUGUCGGCGGCAGAAAAGAGGCCCAAGCGACUGUUUACCACAAACACAGGUGCCUGCGAAAGCGCAAGCUGAAGUAUAGGUGCUGACGCCUGCCCGGUGCAGGAAGGUUAAGGAGAGUUGUUAGCCCCUGAGGUGAAGCAGCGAACUGAAGCCCCUGUAAACGGCGGCCGUAACUAUAACGGUCCUAAGGUAGCGAAAUUCCUUGUCGGGUAAGUUCCGACCCGCACGAAAGGCGUAACGAUUUGGGCACUGUCUCAACGAGGGACCCGGUGAAAUUGAAAUACCUGUGAAGAUGCAGGUUACCCGCGACUGGACAGAAAGACCCCAUGGAGCUUUACUGCAGCUUGGCAUUGGUCUUUGGCAUAUAACGUACAGGAUAGCCGGGAGACUGGGAGACCUACUCGCUAGAGUAGGAGGAGUCACCGUUGGGAUACCGGCCUUUAUAUGCUAAGGAUCUAACCGGGACAUUAACCGUGUUCGGGACAGUACCAGGCGGGCAGUUUGACUGGGGCGGUCGCCUCCGAAAGAGCAACGGAGGCGUCCAAAGGUUCCCUCAGCGCGGACAGAAAUCGCGCGAAGAGCAUAAAGGCAGAAGGGAGCUUGACUGCGAGACUGACGGGUCGAGCAGGUACGAAAGUAGGGCUUAGUGAUCCGGUGGAAAGAGAGUGGAAUUGCCAUCGCUCAACGGAUAAAAGCUACCCUGGGGAUAACAGGCUAAUCUCUCCCAAGAGUCCAUAUCGACGGGGAGGUUUGGCACCUCGAUGUCGGCUCAUCACAUCCUGGGGCUGAAGCAGGUCCCAAGGGUUGGGCUGUUCGCCCAUUAAAGUGGUACGUGAGCUGGGUUCAGAACGUCGUGAGACAGUUCGGUCCAUAUCCAUCGCGGGCGCAAGAUACAUGAGGGAGGCUGCUCCUAGUACGAGAGGACCGGAGUGGACGGACCAACGGUGUACCGGUUGUCCUGCCAAGGGCACGGCCGGGUAGCUGCGUCCGGAAGGGAUAAACGCUGAAAGCAUCUAAGCGUGAAGCCCGUCCCGAGAUGAAGUAUCUCAUUCCUAUAAGGAAGUAAGACCCCUUGAAGAAGACAAGGUAGAUAGGCUGGGUGUGGAAGCACAGUAAUGUGUGUAGCUGACCAGCACUAAUCGGUCGAGGGCUUGACUUAA